rnacentral:rRNA from 1 species
GAUGAACGCUGGCGGCGUGCUUAACACAUGCAAGUCGAACGAAGCACUUUAUUUGAUUUCCUUCGGGACUGAUUAUUUUGUGACUGAGUGGCGGACGGGUGAGUAACGCGUGGGUAACCUGCCUUGUACAGGGGGAUAACAGUUGGAAACGGCUGCUAAUACCGCAUAAGCGCACAGCAUCGCAUGAUGCAGUGUGAAAAACUCCGGUGGUAUAAGAUGGACCCGCGUUGGAUUAGCUAGUUGGUGAGGUAACGGCCCACCAAGGCGACGAUCCAUAGCCGACCUGAGAGGGUGACCGGCCACAUUGGGACUGAGACACGGCCCAAACUCCUACGAGAGGCAGCAGUGGGGAAUAUUGCACAAUGGGCGAAAGCCUGAUGCAGCGACGCCGCGUGAGCGAAGAAGUAUUUCGGUAUGUAAAGCUCUAUCAGCAGGGAAGAUAAUGACGGUACCUGACUAAGAAGCACCGGCUAAAUACGU